UAAAUACUGUAAGACCAGGAGUAAAAAUGCGCGAAAAAGUUACAUGAUAAGUAACAUGGACUCACUCUGUGUGCAAUAAUAGUGUUUUAACAUGAUGUUUGAAUGGCUACCUCAUCUCUGUACCUCACACAUACAAUUAUCUGUAACGUCCCUCAGUCGAGCAGUGAAUUUCAAACACAAAUUUGACCACAAAGACCAGGAAGGUUUUCCAAUGCCUCGCAAAGAAGGGCAUCUAUUGGUAGAUGGGUAAAAAAAUAAAAAACAGACAAUGAAAGUCCCUUUGAGCAUGGUGAAAGGUAUUCAUUACACUUUGGAUGGUGUAUCAAUACACCCAAGGAGACCGAGGUUAACUCCGCUUGCUGAUUGUUCCCGGGGAGACAGAGGUUAACUCCGCUUACUGAUUGUUCCCGGGGAGACCGAGGUUAACUCCACUUGCUGAUUGUUCCCGGGGAGACAGAGGUUAACUCCGCUUACUGAUUGUUCCCAGGGAGACAGAGGUUAACUCCGCUUGCUGAUUGUUCCCGGGGAGACCGAGGUUAACUCCACUUGCUGAUUGUUCCCGGGGAGACAGAGGUUAACUCCGCUUACUGAUUGUUCCCGGGGAGACAGAGGUUAACUCCACUUGCUGAUUGUUCCCGGGGAGACAGAGGUUAACUCCGCUUGCUGAUUGUUCCCGGGGAGACAGAGGUUAACUCCGCUUGCUGAUUGUUCCCGGGGAGACAGAGGUUAACUCCGCUUGCUGAUUGUUCCCGGGGAGACAGAGGUUAACUCCGCUUGUUCCCGGGGACACCGAGGUUAACUCCACUUGCUGAUUGUUCCCGGGGAGACAGAGGUUAACUCCGCUUGUUCCCGGGGACACCGAGGUUAACUCCACUUGCUGAUUGUUCCCGGGGAGACCGAGGUUAACUCCACUUGCUGAUUGUUCCCGGGGAGACCGAGGUUAACUCCACUUGCUGAUUGUUCCCGGGGAGACAGAGGUUAACUCCACUUGCUGAUUGUUCCCGGGGACACCGAGGUUAACUCCACUUGCUGAUUGUUCCCGGGGACACCGAGGUUAACUCCGCUUGCUGAUUGUUCCCGGGGAGACCGAGGUUAACUCCGCUUGCUGAUUGUUCCCGGGGAGACUGAGGUUAACUCCGCUUGCUGAUUGUUCCCAGGGAGACCGAGGUUAACUCCGCUUGCUGAUUGUUCCCGGGGAGACCGAGGUUAACUCCGCUUGCUGAUUGUUCCCGGGGAGACCGAGGUUAACUCCGCUUGCUGAUUGUUCCCGGGGAGACCGAGGUUAACUCCGCUUGCUGAUUGUUCCCGGGGAGACAGAGGUUAACUCCGCUUGCUGAUUGUUCCCGGGGAGACCGAGGUUAACUCCGCUUGCUGAUUGUUCCCGGGGAGACCGAGGUUAACUCCGCUUGCUGAUUGUUCCCGGGGAGACCGAGGUUAACUCCACUUGCUGAUUGUUCCCGGGGAGACCGAGGUUAACUCCGCUUGCUGAUUGUUCCCGGGGAGACCGAGGUUAACUCCGCUUGCUGAUUGUUCCCGGGGACACCGAGGUUAACUCCACUUGCUGAUUGUUCCCGGGGAGACCGAGGUUAACUCCACUUGCUGAUUGUUCCCGGGGAGACCGAGGUUAACUCCACUUGCUGAUUGUUCCCGGGGAGACCGAGGUUAACUCCGCUCAUUAUUAUUAUUAAGCUAUAAAUGUAAACCCUACACAGAAAUUUACAUAGGAGAAACUACCAUGUGGGUAAAUUACAUAUAAUAAUUAAGAAUAUAUUUGUUAUUUUUUCCCCAUUUUCUCUUUAUAAAAAAAUAUAUAUAUAUUUUGAAUUAUAAGAAAUGAAGCCGUUCCUAAUUAAACAAUGUUAUUUUGUGUGUCUGAGUGUGAAUGUGUUUAUAGCGGAGUUUCACAAUGGGAGACAAAAGCAGUAAGGGAGAACCUUGCCUGCCCCAUCUUUUGAUUGGACUGUUGAAGGUCAUGGCAGAUGAGUAGGGUAGGGACAUUCUGGAACAGGUAGCGUUCCGGCACAAAGCAUCAGAAUUUCCUUUAAAAAGGUACAUUGAGUCACCACUGCCUAUUGAUAUUAGAUGAAGACAAGUAAUCCAAAAAUAUAUUAUUAAUUUAAGUAAUCCGGGUUGAUUAGUUACUUUAUUUUUGUAAUUUGGAUGAACUAUUCCCCGUUACAUGUAAUCCGUUACUACCCAACCCUGAACAAUGGUUAUCAUAAAUACAGGAUGAUCUGGGAUAAUACAUUCUUCAUCAGGAGUCGACUUUAUAUCAUUAUUCAAUACAAGAUCAAAUCAAUACCAUUAAUAAGAUGCAUUAGUUCAACAUUUAUUAUAAAUACACUAGGACAAAUGGAUGAAGAUUUUUUGACAUACAUUUUUUUUUUGGUAUCAAUAACAUCAGUCAGAUAAUUCUCUCCACCCUGAGAGACAUUCCAAAACAAACAGAUCAAAUAUAUAUAUAUAUUUUUAAUGAAAACAUCCACAGACUUUAGACAGGAUCGGCAGGUAGCCUAGCUGUUAAGGGGGUUGGACCAGUAACCGAAAGGUCGCUGGUUCAAAUCCCAGAGCCAACAAGGUGAAAAAUCUGUUGAAAUGCCCUUUGAGCAAGGCACUUAACCCUAAUUGCUCCUGUAAGUCAUUCUGCAUAAGAGCGUCUGCUAAA